GAAAGGAAUUUUGUCUUCGGCUCAUGAAGCUGUAAGCGAAAUGUCAUCCCAAGGUAUCCAGCCCAAUGCAAUUACGUACACAACCUUGAUUGAUGGCUUCUCAAAGGCUGGCCGCCUACAGGAAGCUUAUGACCUUGUUACUGAGAUGUCAGCAAAAAGUCUCAGCCUAAAUAUAAUGGGUUAUAACUCUCUUAUAUCAGCUCUGAGUAAACAAGGAAUGAUCCAACAGGCAUUAGAAAUUUUUGGUGAUAUGUCAAACAACGGAUGUAAACCAGACAUUUUUACAUUCAAUGCUUUGAUUUUAGGCUUUUGCAAGAUUGACAAGAUGGAUGAAGCUUUGGGGAUAUACCGGGAUAUGUUCCAGGAAGGAGUUAUUGUUAAUACAGUCACCUACAACACAUUGAUUCAUGCUUUCUUGAGGAAAGGUAAAACCCAAGAGGCGCUUAAGCUUGUAAAUGAUAUGUUA
rnacentral:misc_RNA from 1 species